rnacentral:lncRNA from 1 species
AGAGAACCUCACCUAGCAGUCUCACCUUUCCCUGAGCCUGACCUCUCCUCUUCCCCAAGCCGCACUUCGUCCUAUCUCAAGAGAUGAGGCUCUCAUACGUUUGGAGGGGGCUUGGAGACCUCUCUGUUAUUUGGUAACGGAACGCAGGACCUUGGCAUUGAACCUCGUUGAAAUACUUUGUGUUAAACUUUGGGGGGGGCAUAGUACUCAUGGCUUACGAGGUGUCCGUCAUUUGUUUUAUUCCCUAACAUUGUGCCCUGGGCAGGUGGGAUCGUGGCCAGGAAGGACUGAAAGACGGACAGUUGGGUGCAGAAGUGAUGAGGGCCCCACAAUCUCCAUUCUGUCUGUUCACUACUUGAAGUCUAAAGAGGAGGCAGAGAAGGUGUAAACUCUUAUUUAUGCCCCAGGUAGGACCUGAGGGAGCCCAAGCGGGGAGCAGCUGUGAAGUGGCUCCUUAUUUAAGGAGAGGGUUACUUAUUAAUCCGUCAACACUGGCGUGUCUACAAGAGUUAAGGACACUGUCUUCUUCCUGCUGUGCUCUCUUGUCAUGUGGCAGAAGUCACCAGCAUAGCAGUUGGCCAAGAACCACUUGUCGAAGGACAACCUGAGGAAGCUGUAACUGACUUUUGUAAGGAUUCGGGACAGUGCGGUAAUUGGUGUGUGGUUUAGUGACAUUUCUACAACCUGAAACUCCAAGUUGACGAGAAUAAUUUCCCAUUUCCCAAACUAAACCUGGCCAAGAACAUCUACUAAAAUUAAUUAUUUUGAAAUCCA